rnacentral:rRNA from 1 species
UACGAAGGGGGCUAGCGUUGUUCGGAAUUACUGGGCGUAAAGGGCUCGUAGGUGGCCAACUAAGUCAGACGUGAAAUCCCUCGGCUUAACCGGGGAACUGCGUCUGAUACUGGAUGGCUUGAGUUUGGGAGAGGGACGCGGAAUUCCAGGUGUAGCGGUGAAAUGCGUAGAUAUCGAGAGGAACACCAGUGGCGAAGGCGAGUCCCUGGACAAAGCCUGACACUGAGGCACGAAAGCCAGGGGAGCGAACGGG